AGACCUCAGUAGUGAUACCCCUUUGCCUAGUUUAUGCACAGAAGUCACGCUUCUCAGCACCCAUUGCAACUGAGUGGCAACACAUGGCUACUUCUCACCAAUGGAUUGUGAGGCCAGCUGACAAUCUGAGGCUUCAAAAGCCCCUAUACAGCUCUCAGUUCUUUUCCUGCCACAUCAAUCAUGGAGGCCAAGACGGAACCACCCUAAAUCCCUGAGAUUUAAAUCUCUGAAUCUUUGAAGGGAACUACCCUGGAGAACCUUGAGACCCACAGCAGAAUUGUGAGAAGUCAUCAGCCUGCAACCCAGAAGAGGACCUUCACCAGGAACCGUAUCAGCUGACACCGUGAUCUUGGACUUCUCAGCCUCCAGAACUAUGAAGAUAGGAACACUACUCACCACAUACAAUGGAUGUGAAGUUAAGUAAGUUACUGCAGUCAUAGAAGAGGUACCACCUGCAAUGAUGACUUCACCUAUCCACAUCAUCAGUUCUCCUGUCUAUUGGUUCAUUCCCCCUAGCAUACAUAUGUUGUACUCGCCCCUUUAAAAAGAAUCUGCGAUCCUACAUCCUCCUUCAGUUGUGACCUUAUUCUCUUUCUCUCAUUUACGUCAAAACUCCUGGAAAACAGAGAGUAGAAGGAUGAUUACCAGA